ACUAAAAGUUUGUGAAUUCUUUCGGUUUGGAAUAUUCACAGGAAAUGUUGGAAAAUUGUAAAUUUUUUUGAGAGACUUUACUCAGAAAGGCCCUCUCAGCGUCAGUUGCUCUUGAGCAUUUGCCCAAGAAUAUACUGAUUGAACCAGCGUUAAAACUGUUUAAAAUAAAAAUUAUUGAAGUGAGUUAAAAAAGUAAAUUAAAUUAAGUAAAUUAAAGGACUACAUAAUCAAGGUCAAUUAUUAUAGGAUGAAAAUACGGAAUUCUUUGUUAUUUGCUUAUAUUAUGUAUUUGGUUAUGCCAUCCUAAAAAUUGAAGAAAAUCUUGGAAUUUUUUCAGAGGGAUUUAUGAAUAUAAAUUCAGCAACAAGGAACAAAAGGAAGGAUUGAGUAAAAAUACCUAACUUUGAUUAUAAAUUAAGCGUCGUAUAUAAUUUAUAAAAAUUGAAAAUUUU